rnacentral:rRNA from 1 species
UACAGAGGUCCCAAGCGUUGUUCGGAUUCACUGGGCGUAAAGGGUGCGUAGGCGGCCAGGUAAGUCUGCUGUGAAAUCCCGCAGCUCAACUGCGGAACUGCAUUGGAAACGAUCUGGCUAGAGGAAUGGAGGGGAGACUGGAAUUCUCGGUGUAGCAGUGAAAUGCGUAGAUAUCGAGAGGAACACCAGUGGCGAAGGCGAGUCUCUGGACAUUUCCUGACGCUGAGGCACGAAAGCCAGGGGAGCAAACGGG